ACACUCCUACGGGAGGCAGCAGUGGGGAAUAUUGGACAAUGGGGGCAACCCUGAUCCAGCCAUGCCGCGUGAGUGAUGAAGGCCCUAGGGUUGUAAAGCUCUUUUGUGCGGGAAGAUAAUGACGGUACCGCAAGAAUAAGCCCCGGCUAACUUCGUGCCAGCAGCCGCGGUAAUACGAAGGGGGCUAGCGUUGCUCGGAAUCACUGGGCGUAAAGGGUGCUUAGGCGGGUCUUUAAGUCAGGGGUGAAAUCCUGGAGCUCAACUCCAGAACUGCCUUUGAUACUGAGGAUCUUGAGUCCGGAAGAGGUGAGUGGAACUGCGAGUGUAGAGGUGAAAUUCGUAGAUAUUCGCAAGAACACCAGUGGCGAAGGCGGCUCACUGGUCCGGUACUGACGCUGAGGCACGAAAGCGUGGGGAGCAAACAGGAUUAGAAACCCCAGUAGUCCCAUGAU
rnacentral:rRNA from 1 species